rnacentral:rRNA from 1 species
AUGGCGUCGGUGACCGUUACGCCUCUUUCCGCGCCCGAACCCGAGCCCUCAGCUCGCCCCGACAACCUUCCCCGGCCCAGCGUGGCAAUUUCAUGGGAUACCCAAGCUCUAUGCAAGCAUGCGGAAACCUGCGAGUUGGGAUCAGAGGCAUUCCUGAUUGAUCCUGCCCUGCUUCCAACUCUAGAAGGUCUACUUCUAGAAACAUAUGCGAUGUUGCGCCCAAAGCCAGUUGAGUAUGAGCAACGACGUACUAUGAUAGACGUCUUCAACAAAAUUGCCAAAGACAUUUUUGGUAAAAAAGAUGAUUUUCCAGUUGUGGAACCGUUUGGGUCAUUCACAAUGGAUCUAUUUACUACUAAAAGUGAUCUUGAUCUCUCUGUCAACUUUAGCAAUGAUAUGGAUGGUCAAUUUGCUCGCAAGGACAAGAUUUCUGUUAUUAGAAAGUUCGCAAAAGUCCUACAUAAGCAUCAGAGCCGUGGUCGUUGUUAUGGGGUUUUACCUGUUUUAAGUGCUAUAGUUCCUGUACUGAAGGUUACUGAUAAGGGAACUGGGGUUGAAUGUGAUAUUUCAGUCGAAAACAAAGAUGGCAUGUCAAGAUCGAUGAUAUUUAAACUUGUUUCUUCAAUUGAUGAAAGAUUUCAGAUACUUUGUUAUCUGAUGAAGUUCUGGGCUAAGACACAUGAUGUUAAUUGUCCCAAAGAUCGAACGAUGAGCUCGAUGGCAAUUAUCUCCUUAGUUGCUUUCCAUUUACAGACCCGGCAUCCUCCAAUAUUACCUGCAUUUUCCGGCUUACUGAAAGAUGGUGCAGACUUUGCAAGUGUCCAGAGAAACGUUGUGCUAUUCAAGGGGUUUGGGAGCACUAAUAAAGAAUCCGUUGCUGAACUUUUUGUAUCACUAAUGAGUAAACUACUAGCAGUAAAGGAUUUAUGGGAGCAAGGGCUUUGUGCCAGCAAUUUUGAUGGAUUCUGGAUCUCAAAGACCUGGAACAGAGGAAUUGGUAACUUGAGUGUGGAAGACUUCUUGGACAGAUCUCAGAAUUUUGCCAGAUCAGUAGGGAAGGUGGAGAUGCAGAACAUCUGUGAAUGCCUAAAGGAUACUGUUUCCAAAUUGACUGAUUUCUUUAGGGGUAAAAUUGAUGCACUGACACUGAAGAUCCUCAUUUUUGGGGCGUUAAAUCAGGAUGUGCCAGUCAGUCACCCCAGUCCAAAACAUGUUAAGAGCAAGAGGAAGAGGGAGUUGCGACAUGACCCCGGAAACAGUGAGAAGCAGCAAAAGAAAGUGAAGCACGCUGCACAACGUGGCCGCGCUGCUAACAGGACUGAUUCUAUUUUACCAACUCCCACUGUAUUUAUGCCUCAUGUGCAUCAAGUAGGUUCUACCCAACCAUUUAAUCAGAUUGUGCAUCCAUCUCAGCUUCCGAUUCCUCCUCGGCUUUCCUAUGGGUUGCCACAAGCACACUUUCAUCCAGGUCCUCAUAUGAUAGGACAACCUCAUGGUAGUUUCAUCUACUCGACAGAUCCUGGGAUUCAACUGCAGCAGCAAGCCCGGCAUAUGUUUGUUCCUUUGCCAGUCCACCAGCCAGCGAUUAAUAGGUCGUUUCACCCCCAUGGUUUCAACGGGGCACAUGAGGUCCUGUAUGAUGACAAUAGCUGGUUACCUUACGGAAUCAAUCCGAAUUACAGGAGGGUAUGA